rnacentral:rRNA from 1 species
CGGAUCGGAGUCUGCAACUCGACUCCGUGAAGCUGGAUUCGCUAGUAAUCGCGCAUCAGCCAUGGCGCGGUGAAUACGUUCCCGGGCCUUGUACACACCGCCCGUCAAGCCAUGGGAGCCGGGGGUACCUGAAGUCCGUAACCGCAAGGAUCGGCCUAGGGUAAAACUGGUGACUGGGGCUAAGUCGUAACAAGGUACC